ACCCUAGGUAGGGCUUCUCCUUCGGGAGCAGAGUGACAGGUGGUGCAUGGUUGUCGUCAGCUCGGCGUGAGAUGUUGGGUUAAGUCCCGCAACGAGCGCAACCCUUGAUCUUAGUUGCCAUCAUUAAGUUGGGCACUCUAAGGUGACUGCCGGUGACAAACCGGAGGAAGGUGGGGAUGACGUCAAAUCAUCAUGCCCCUUAUGACCUGGGCUACACACGUGCUACAAUGGACGGUACAAAGAGCUGCAAGACCGCGAGGUGGAGCUAAUCUCAUAAAACCGUUCUCAGUUCGGAUUGUAGGCUGCAACUCGCCUACAUGAAGCUGGAAUCGCUAGUAAUCGCGGAUCAGCAUGCCGCGGUGAAUACGUUCCCGGGCCUUGUACACAUCCGCCCGU
rnacentral:rRNA from 1 species